CUAUCUACAGGCUUAACACAUGCAAGUCGAGGGGCAGCAUGGUCUUAGCUUGCUAAGGCCGAUGGCGACCGGCGCACGGGUGAGUAACACGUAUCCAACCUGCCGUCUACUCUUGGACAGCCUUCUGAAAGGAAGAUUAAUACAAGAUGGCAUCAUGAGUCCGCAUGUUCACAUGAUUAAAGGUAUUCCGGUAGACGAUGGGGAUGCGUUCCAUUAGAUAGUAGGCGGGGUAACGGCCCACCUAGUCUUCGAUGGAUAGGGGUUCUGAGAGGAAGGUCCCCCACAUUGGAACUGAGACACGGUCCAAACUCCUACGGGAGGCAGCAGUGAGGAAUAUUGGUCAAUGGGCGAGAGCCUGAACCAGCCAAGUAGCGUGAAGGAUGACUGCCCUAUGGGUUGUAAACUUCUUUUAUAAAGGAAUAAAGUCGGGUAUGCAUACCCGUUUGCAUGUACUUUAUGAAUAAGGAUCGGCUAACUCCGUGCCAGCAGCCGCGGUAGUACGGAGGAUCCGAGCGUUAUCCGGAUUUAUUGGGUUUAAAGGGAGCGUAGAUGGAUGUUUAAGUCAGUUGUGAAAGUUUGCGGCUCAACCGUAAAAUUGCAGUUGAUACUGGAUAUCUUGAGUGCAGUUGAGGCAGGCGGAAUUCGUGGUGUAGCGGUGAAAUGCUUAGAUAUCACGAAGAACUCCGAUUGCGAAGGCAGCCUGCUAAGCUGCAACUGACAUUGAGGCUCGAAAGUGUGGGUAUCAAACAGGAUUAGAUACCCUGGUAGUCCACACGGUAAACGAUGAAUACUCGCUGUUUGCGAUAUACGGCAAGCGGCCAAGCGAAAGCGUUAAGUAUUCCACCUGGGGAGUACGCCGGCAACGGUGAAACUCAAAGGAAUUGACGGGGGCCCGCACAAGCGGAGGAACAUGUGGUUUAAUUCGAUGAUACGCGAGGAACCUUACCCGGGCUUAAAUUGCAGAUGAAUUACGGUGAAAGCCGUAAGCCGCAAGGCAUCUGUGAAGGUGCUGCAUGGUUGUCGUCAGCUCGUGCCGUGAGGUGUCGGCUUAAGUGCCAUAACGAGCGCAACCCUUGUUGUCAGUUACUAACAGGUUCCGCUGAGGACUCUGACAAGACUGCCAUCGUAAGAUGUGAGGAAGGUGGGGAUGACGUCAAAUCAGCACGGCCCUUACGUCCGGGGCUACACACGUGUUACAAUGGGGGGUACAGAGGGCCGCUACCACGCGAGUGGAUGCCAAUCCCCAAAACCUCUCUCAGUUCGGACUGGAGUCUGCAACCCGACUCCACGAAGCUGGAUUCGCUAGUAAUCGCGCAUCAGCCACGGCGCGGUGAAUACGUUCCCGGGCCUUGUACACACCGCCCGUCAAGCCAUGGGAGCCGGGGGUACCUGAAGUGCGUAACCGCGAGGAGCGCCCUAGGGUAAAACUGGUGACUGGGGCUAA
rnacentral:rRNA from 1 species